UUGUGGCUCUUGCGCAUGGGCGAAGCCUGAGCAGCGACGCCGCGUGGGGGAUGAAGCCUCUCGGACUGUAAACCUCACUCGUCCUGACGAAAGCCUCGCAGAGGAACUGACGGUAGGGAGAGAGAAGCCCCGGCUAACUACGUGCCAGCAGCCGCGGUAAGACGUAGGGGGCCAGCGUUGCUCGGAAUUCUUGGGCGUAAAGGGUCUCGCAGGCGGUGCGGCAAGUCUCGAGUUGAAAUCUCUUGGGCUUCAACCCCAGAGGCUUGCUUCGGGAAACUUGCUUGUGCCUCGAGUUCCGGGAGAAGGCGCGUGGAAUCUGCAGGUGUAGCGGGUGAAAUUGCGUAGAUUUCUUGCAGGAACAACCAGAGGCGAAAGCGGGCCCCGCUGGACCGGUACUUGACGCUGAGGAACGAAAGCUUAGGGGAGCAAACAGGAUUAGAUCCCUUGGUAGUUCCUAGCCCUUAAACGAUCGGCAUUUGAGGUGGGCCCCGUCCGGGGUCCGUCUUCGCAGCCAAACGCGAUAAGUUCCCGCGCCUGGGGAGUUCG
rnacentral:rRNA from 1 species